GGGGCACGGGCGGAACUCAGUCUCUCGGCCGGGCCAAGGAGCUGCGGCCCCCCACGAUCUCAUUCUCAGCUGAUCGCUCCAGGACCCCCAGCUUGUCCCCUCAGGUCUCUUACGAGCCCUGGCCCUGCACCUUGGACCUUGGUUCCAAAUCCACUCUCUAGCAGCGUGUCACGGUACUUAAACUAUGCCAACCUGCCGCCAUCCUAUGGAGCGCUGCCUACUUUAUUUUUCAAAGUGAAAGGAGCACCAGGCUUUUCUGACGCGUGGAGAACUUUCGCUAGACCCUCUUUACUUUGCAGAGCUGCCCCAGCGGAGCCCAAAUCUCUAUACCAUCAGCGCCUUGCCACUGAAUCCUUAACUGUGGGCGAACCCCAAGGCUACACCAAGUGGCUAGGUGUUGAGUGUUGGAGACAAGGAACAAUUAACAUUGAGACAAAAGCUGACGCAGCUGCCUCAGAAAAUCGCUGUGGCCGCUGCCUCUUCCCGCUUUAAUCCCAGACCCACAGUCAUUGGGCAGCUCCUCAGAGGCAAGAAGUCAACACCAUGGCAACCCGACAAGCCUAUCAAAUCACCGGCUGACAUGACAGCAGCAACACCGCAAGCAAGAAUGGGCUGGGCGGAAGAGCAGAG
rnacentral:lncRNA from 1 species